rnacentral:rRNA from 1 species
UACGUAGGGUGCAAGCAUUGUCCGGAUUUAUUGGGCGUAAAGAGCUCGUAGGCGGUCCGUCACGUCGGAUGUGAAAACUCGGGGCUCAACCCCGAGCCUGCAUCCGAUACGGACGGACUAGAGUGUUGCAGGGGAGACUGGAAUUCCUGGUGUAGCGGUGGAAUGCGCAGAUAUCAGGAGGAACACCGGUGGCGAAGGCGGGUCUCUGGGCAACUACUGACGCUGAGGAGCGAAAGCGUGGGGAGCAAACAGG